UCAAACUUCUCUGUGUAAAUGCGAGGUAGUCGAGUCAUAACAGCAUUUUUCCCAUAAUUCGUACGAUGUGAGGGUAUACUAAGCAAGUGAGUAUGUCUUUCAAUAGAGCUUUUCUCAGUAUAUUCACGUGAGUAACCCG